rnacentral:rRNA from 1 species
GAUCCUGGCUCAGAUUGAACGCUGGCGGCAUGCCUUACACAUGCAAGUCGAACGGCAGCGCGGGCUUCGGCCUGGCGGCGAGUGGCGAACGGGUGAGUAAUACAUCGGAACGUGCCCUGUUGUGGGGGAUAACUAGUCGAAAGAUUAGCUAAUACCGCAUACGACCUGAGGGUGAAAGCGGGGGACCGCAAGGCCUCGCGCAAUAGGAGCGGCCGAUGUCUGAUUAGCUAGUUGGUGGGGUAAAGGCCUACCAAGGCGACGAUCAGUAGCUGGUCUGAGAGGACGAUCAGCCACACUGGGACUGAGACACGGCCCAGACUCCUACGGGAGGCAGCAGUGGGGAAUUUUGGACAAUGGGGGCAACCCUGAUCCAGCAAUGCCGCGUGUGUGAAGAAGGCCUUCGGGUUGUAAAGCACUUUUGUCCGGAAAGAAAUCGCGCUGGCUAAUACCUGGCGUGGAUGACGGUACCGGAAGAAUAAGCACCGGCUAACUAC